GACGAACGCUGGCGGCGUGCCUAAUACAUGCAAGUCGAACGCAGUGGGGACGGGUGAGUAACACGUGGGUAACCGCCCAUCAGAGGGGGUAACACGUGGAAACAGGUGCUAAACCGAUACGGAUGGAGGGAGCCGCGGUGCAUUAGCUAGUUGGUGAGGUAACGGCCCACCAAGGCACCGAUGCAUAGCCGACCUGAGUGGUGGAUCGGCCAAACUGGGACUGAGACACGGCCCAGACUCCUACGAGAGGCAGCAGUAGGGAAUCUUCGGCGAUGGACGAAAGUCUGACCGAGCAACGCCGCGUGAGUGAAGAAGGUCUUCGGAUCGUAAAACUCUGUUGUUAGAGAAGCGGUAUCUACCCAGAAAGCCCCGGCUAACUACGUGCCAGCAGCCGCGGUAAUUC
rnacentral:rRNA from 1 species